rnacentral:rRNA from 1 species
GAUGAACGCUGGCGGCGCGCCUAAUACAUGCAAGUCGAGCGAACAGACGAGGAGCUUGCUCCUCUGACGUUAGCGGCGGACGGGUGAGUAACACGUGGAUAACCUACCUAUAAGACUGGGAUAACUUCGGGAAACCGGAGCUAAUACCGGAUAACAUAUUGAACCGCAUGGUUCAACAGUGAAAGACGGUUUUGCUGUCACUUAUAGAUGGAUCCGCGUCGCAUUAGCUAGUUGGUAAGGUAACGGCUUACCAAGGCAACGAUGCGUAGCCGACCUGAGAGGGUGAUCGGCCACACUGGAACUGAGACACGGUCCAGACUCCUACGGGAGGCAGCAGUAGGGAAUCUUCCGCAAUGGGCGAAAGCCUGACGGAGCAACGCCGCGUGAGUGAAGAAGGUCUUCGGAUCGUAAAACUCUGUUAUUAGGGAAGAACAAAUGUGUAAGUAACUAUGCACGUCUUGACGGUACCUAAUCAGAAAGCCACGGCUAACUACGUG